UUUUCCCCAUUCUCUACAAGGCAACUAUUUGGCCAGGACACGUACGUGAACCUCCUCAAAUUGGCGCACUAAUCCUAAAAGGAGCCAUGAAGUGUUAAACGGUAGAAAGAGAAAGAGCGGCGCUCAGACACCCGCACGCUGGGAGAGAGGGAGGAAACAGCGCUGCUCCAAUGCGUCUGUGCAACACAGACUGAAGAAAAAAAAAACUUAUCGACUCACUAAACCAGAACCCGCGCUGCGCAAUUAAGUGAGAGAACAUUCACCUUUUCCUUCGGUUUUGAAGAAAAUAAAUAAAGAAAUCAAGCUGGCUCAGUGCGUGUCUCAGCAGCCCACUUUGACAGGUGCUCCUCACCCCCUUUGGAGGACUGUCAACAGCAAGAGGAUGGCAUCAGAGCUGGCAAUGAGCAACUCCGACCUGCCCACCAGUCCCCUGGCCAUGGAAUAUGUUAAUGACUUCGAUCUGAUGAAGUUUGAAGUGAAAAAGGAGCCGGUGGAGCCCGAUCGCAGCAUCAACCAGUGCAGCCGCCUGGUCGCCGGGGGAUCCCUGUCUUCCACCCCGAUGAGCACGCCUUGCAGCUCGGUCCCCCCCUCUCCAAGCUUCUCGGCGCCCAGUCCGGGAUCAGGGAGCGAACAGAAGGCGCACUUGGAAGAUUUCUACUGGAUGACCGGGUACCAGCAGCAGCUGAACCCCGAAGCUCUGGGCUUUAGCCCGGAGGACGCCGUAGAGGCGCUGAUCAGCAGCAGUCACCAGCUCCAGACCUUCGACGGCUAUGCCAGGGGGCAGCAGUUCGGCGGCGCGGCCGGGGCGGGGGGCGCCAUGGCCGGGGAGGAGAUGGGCUCAGCGGCCGCCGUGGUGUCCGCGGUCAUCGCUGCAGCCGCAGCCCAGAACGGGACCCCCCACCAUCACCACCACCACCACCACCACCACCACGCGGGCGCGCACCACCAGUCCUCCGGUUCCCAGUCCGGCAGCAUCGGCGGCGGCGGCGGCGCGCACCAGCACCUGCGCCUGGAGGACCGCUUCUCCGACGACCAGCUGGUGACCAUGUCGGUGCGGGAAUUGAACCGGCAGCUGCGGGGCGUCAGCAAGGAAGAGGUGAUCCGCCUGAAACAGAAGAGGAGGACGCUAAAGAACAGAGGCUAUGCCCAGUCCUGCCGGUACAAGCGGGUCCAGCAGCGGCACGUCCUGGAGGGGGAGAAGACGCAGCUCAUUCAGCAGGUGGACCAUCUCAAGCAGGAGAUCUCCCGGCUGGCCAGGGAGAGGGACGCCUACAAGGAGAAAUACGAGAAGCUCAUCAGCACCGGCUUCAGAGAAAACGGAGGAUCCGGCAGCGACAACAACCCUUCAUCUCCGGAGUUUUUCAUGACGUCAAGAAAGUUUCUCCACCUGUGAUACAGAGCUGUGUUCUCUCGGUCCCGCCAGCCUGGAGUCUGAGUGGGAGGACAUCUGGCUGCCUGCCUGACUUACAAGCGAGCAGCGUGGUGGAAAUGGGAUAUCAUGACACUGGAAUGAUGUUUCUCGAACAACCUGCGGCACCUGGACUGCCACAAAGCACAAUGUCUCAAAUGCGCCCCACCCACCACCCAGCGGCUUCAGGAGAACCGAUCCACAAAACAGAAUACAAAAACUGAAAAAAAUAGGACACUGGAAUCACCCACUCUGGUUAAACAACAAGGGAAGAUGCAUAGAAAUUAAGGAUCCCAUAGAUAAGAGUUUCUACCAUCUCUAUCCAAAUGGACAAAUAUCAUCCCUCAAAUACCUCCUAAUUGAAAUUAAGAUUUACCAGAGAGCAGAUUAUCAAUACUUUAGUUUGAGUCAAAUAGCAAAGAGAAAAUUUAUAAUGUCCACAUCCCUUUAGCAAACCCCUAUAAAUCAGGAGGUUGUUAAUAUUGUACAGAAAACAAAUAGGGAUGUUGAUAAGAAGUAAAUUAUUGCUAAAUAAUGUACAUAGCCAUACGAAUCAUACCUCUAAUGUGUUUAUAUAUCCACAAGUGUCACAUGCCAAUUACUUUGUAUUCAUUUUUGCCCAAAAGGACUGAGCACAACGAUUGACCAAUGCUUGUCUAUAACUCAUCAGGAAACCCAUCAUAGGAAUAGACGAGAGGACACUGAAUAUACAGACAUUAAUUGGGAAGACACAAUAUUUGCAAUAUAGUGCACUAUUGCUGCAAUCUGAUGCAUAAACCACAAUGUGUACGCUUAUGAGAAAACCCUGUACUGUCAUCACAACAGGUCAUUUGCUUAUGUGAACUCUGCAACUCUUGCAAAAAAACUUCCCUUAUCCUUAACUUCCCAUUGUAAAGUAUCACAGCAGAGCUGAGCCCAGAUGUAUAUGGAAACCCCUCCUGUGCGUUAUAUGUAGCGUGUUUUAGCCCCAAAGUGAUGUGACAUAUCCAGAUGGACUUCUGUGGUUUGGCAGCUUUUGUACAGUGCAGUCAAAAAAUCUUUUAUUAGCUUCAUACCUAAGUCAACAUCAGCUGCUUCAUGUUUGGCUUGGCCCCAUCCUCUUCCUCAUCCUCCUCCUCCUCGUCUUCUGUCUGUUUAGAGAGCCUGUACCCCCACUGACCUCUCCGCAAUCAGGCGCUCACUCAGCUCCCACAGGCUGGCAGCACUGCUAUGAUCCUGGGCCUGGAGGGAUGGCUGGCAGCGGAAGCAGUUGUUGAAGUACAUGGCCCCCAAACCCUCCAGCUCCUGAGCUACUGCACAGUACACUGUGGUGGCCGCACCUUGUUGCUGUUGGACAGAGAAAAAAAAACAUGGACACAGACGAGAUCAGUGGACGAAUCACUGCACUGAGACACCUAGAUGGCAUCAUCCUGCAGGAGGAGACAAAAUAUGGAGAACUCAUGUACACACACGCAGACAUUAGGAGGUGUCCUGUCCAGAGAGGACAAACCGAGGACCCCGACUACACACCCUUUAUGUGACACACGUGCAAACACACAAACACAAAAAGAGACGGCAGGACUGAGUGGCAACAGGGAGAGAGAAAGAGAGAGAUAAAAAAAGAGAAAAGGAAAAGCACAUGCUGUCUCACCCCUCUCCAUGCGGCCCAUGAGGACAGCGUCAUAUUACCGUGGGAGUGGCAUAUACCCUUACUGUACAUAUAUUUAUAUACAUAUAUUUAUUUAUUUAUUUAUUU